rnacentral:piRNA from 1 species
UNGCCACUCUAAUGCCUUUUGAAUGGAC